rnacentral:rRNA from 1 species
UACGUAGGGCGCAAGCGUUUAUCCGGAAUUAUUGGGCGUAAAGAGCUCGUAGGCGGUUUGUCGCGUCUGCCGUGAAAGUCCGGGGCUCAACUCCGGAUCUGCGGUGGGUACGGGCAGACUAGAGUGAUGUAGGGGAGACUGGAAUUCCUGGUGUAGCGGUGAAAUGCGCAGAUAUCGGGAGGAACACCUAUGGCGAAGGCAGCUCGCUGGGACGUUACUGACGCUGAGACGCGAAAGCGUGGGGAGCGAACAGG